CCCCUAGAUGUUCUGGGCCGCACGCGCGCUACACUGAACAGUUCAACAAGUCUUAACCUUGGCCGAUAGGUCUGGGUAAUCUUUGAACGCUGUUCGUGAUUGGGAUAGACCUUUGCAAUUAUGGGUCUUCAACGAGGAAUUCCUAGUAAACGCAAGUCAUCAGCUUGCAUUGAUUACGUCCCUGCCCUUUGUACACACCGCCCGUCGCACCUACCGACUGAAUGGUCCGGUGAAAUCUCGGGACGGCGGCUUGGUCGCUUGCGUCCGACUGCUGAAACUUGAUUAAACCAUAUCAUUUAGAGGAAGGUGAAGUCGUAACA
rnacentral:rRNA from 1 species